rnacentral:misc_RNA from 1 species
UCUUAACCGCGUCAGCCUGAAGCUGAGCUACAGGAGCAGAAGCAGCAGCAGCAGCAGCAUUGGUUGGAUAAGCAGCUACACUGGGCUGAAUGGAGGGAGGAGGAGCCACAUUGGGUUGUGUGGAAAGAGAAAGAUCGAGAGGAACCGUCAUAGGCGGAGGAGCAUUUGCAAGAUUACUGGGCUGUUCAAUGGGCUGUACAGCACCAGCAAUACUAUCGAUAAGAGAAAUGGAAAUGGAUUUGGGCUUAGGAGGCCUGCCGCGACCCCUCUUAGGCCCAG